rnacentral:rRNA from 1 species
UACGGAGGAUCCGAGCGUUAUCCGGAUUUAUUGGGUUUAAAGGGUGCGUAGGCGGUUUGAUAAGUUAGAGGCGAAAUGUCGGGGCUCAACCCCAAAACUGCCUCUAAUACUGUUGGACUAGAGAAUAGUUGCGGUAGGCGGAAUGUAUGGUGUAGCGGUGAAAUGCUUAGAGAUCAUACAGAACACCGAUUGCGAAGGCAGCUUACCAAACUAUAUCUGACGUUGAGGCACGAAAGCGUGGGUAGCAAACAGG